CAGCAGCCACGGGAAUACGUAGGUGGCAAGCGUUGUCCGGAAUUAUUGGGCGUAAAGGGCUCGCAGGCGGUUUCUUAAGUCUGAUGUGAAAGCCCCCGGCUCAACCGGGGAGGGUCAUUGGAAACUGGGAAACUUGAGUGCAGAAGAGGAGAGUGGAAUUCCACGUGUAGCGGUGAAAUGCGUAGAGAUGUGGAGGAACACCAGUGGCGAAGGCGACUCUCUGGUCUGUAACUGACGCUGAGGGGCGAAAGCGUGGGGAGCGAACAGGAUUAGAUACCCGUGUAGUCCCUGUCUCUUAUAC
rnacentral:rRNA from 1 species